AUUGAACGCUGGCGGCAGGCUUAACACAUGCAAGUCGAGCGGGGAAGGGUAGCUUGCUACCUGACCUAGCGGCGGACGGGUGAGUAAUGCUUAGGAAUCUGCCUAUUAGUGGGGGACAACAUUCCGAAAGGAAUGCUAAUACCGCAUACGCCCUACGGGGGAAAGCAGGGGAUCUUCGGACCUUGCGCUAAUAGAUGAGCCUAAGUCAGAUUAGCUAGUUGGUGGGGUAAAGGCCUACCAAGGCGACGAUCUGUAGCGGGUCUGAGAGGAUGAUCCGCCACACUGGGACUGAGACACGGCCCAGACUCCUACGGGAGGCAGCAGUGGGGAAUAUUGGACAAUGGGCGAAAGCCUGAUCCAGCCAUGCCGCGUGUGUGAAGAAGGCCUUUUGGUUGUAAAGCACUUUAAGCGAGGAGGAGGCUACUUGGAUUAAUACUCUAGGAUAGUGGACGUUACUCGCAGAAUAAGCACCGGCUAACUCUGUGCCAGCAGCCGCGGUAAUACAGAGGGUGCGAGCGUUAAUCGGAUUUACUGGGCGUAAAGCGUGCGUAGGCGGCUUCUUAAGUCGGAUGUGAAAUCCCUGAGCUUAACUUAGGAAU
rnacentral:rRNA from 1 species